GGGUUGUGAGGUUAAGCGACUAAGCGUACACGGUGGAUGCCCUGGCAGUCAGAGGCGAUGAAGGACGUGCUAAUCUGCGAUAAGCGUCGGUAAGGUGAUAUGAACCGUUAUAACCGGCGAUUUCCGAAUGGGGAAACCCAGUGUGUUUCGACACACUAUCAUUAACUGAAUCCAUAGGUUAAUGAGGCGAACCGGGGGAACUGAAACAUCUAAGUACCCCGAGGAAAAGAAAUCAACCGAGAUUCCCCCAGUAGCGGCGAGCGAACGGGGAGCAGCCCAGAGCCUGAAUCAGUGUGUGUGUUAGUGGAAGCGUCUGGAAAGGCGCGCGAUACAGGGUGACAGCCCCGUACACAAAAAUGCACAUGCUGUGAGCUCGAUGAGUAGGGCGGGACACGUGGUAUCCUGUCUGAAUAUGGGGGGACCAUCCUCCAAGGCUAAAUACUCCUGACUGACCGAUAGUGAACCAGUACCGUGAGGGAAAGGCGAAAAGAACCCCGGCGAGGGGAGUGAAAAAGAACCUGAAACCGUGUACGUACAAGCAGUGGGAGCCUCUUUUAUGGGGUGACUGCGUACCUUUUGUAUAAUGGGUCAGCGACUUAUAUUCUGUAGCAAGGUUAACCGAAUAGGGGAGCCGAAGGGAAACCGAGUCUUAACUGGGCGUUAAGUUGCAGGGUAUAGACCCGAAACCCGGUGAUCUAGCCAUGGGCAGGUUGAAGGUUGGGUAACACUAACUGGAGGACCGAACCGACUAAUGUUGAAAAAUUAGCGGAUGACUUGUGGCUGGGGGUGAAAGGCCAAUCAAACCGGGAGAUAGCUGGUUCUCCCCGAAAGCUAUUUAGGUAGCGCCUCGUGAAUUCAUCUCCGGGGGUAGAGCACUGUUUCGGCAAGGGGGUCAUCCCGACUUACCAACCCGAUGCAAACUGCGAAUACCGGAGAAUGUUAUCACGGGAGACACACGGCGGGUGCUAACGUCCGUCGUGAAGAGGGAAACAACCCAGACCGCCAGCUAAGGUCCCAAAGUCAUGGUUAAGUGGGAAACGAUGUGGGAAGGCCCAGACAGCCAGGAUGUUGGCUUAGAAGCAGCCAUCAUUUAAAGAAAGCGUAAUAGCUCACUGGUCGAGUCGGCCUGCGCGGAAGAUGUAACGGGGCUAAACCAUGCACCGAAGCUGCGGCAGCGACGCUGAUGCGUUGUUGGGUAGGGGAGCGUUCUGUAAGCCUGCGAAGGUGUGCUGUGAGGCAUGCUGGAGGUAUCAGAAGUGCGAAUGCUGACAUAAGUAACGAUAAAGCGGGUGAAAAGCCCGCUCGCCGGAAGACCAAGGGUUCCUGUCCAACGUUAAUCGGGGCAGGGUGAGUCGACCCCUAAGGCGAGGCCGAAAGGCGUAGUCGAUGGGAAACAGGUCAAUAUUCCUGUACUUGGUGUUACUGCGAAGGGGGGACGGAGAAGGCUAUGUUGGCCGGGCGACGGUUGUCCCGGUUUAAGCGUGUAGGCUGGUUUUCCAGGCAAAUCCGGAAAACUAAGGCUGAGGCGUGAUGACGAGGCACUACGGUGCUGAAGCAACAAAUGCCCUGCUUCCAGGAAAAGCCUCUAAGCAUCAGGUAACAUCAAAUCGUACCCCAAACCGACACAGGUGGUCAGGUAGAGAAUACCAAGGCGCUUGAGAGAACUCGGGUGAAGGAACUAGGCAAAAUGGUGCCGUAACUUCGGGAGAAGGCACGCUGAUAUGUAGGUGAAGUCCCUCGCGGAUGGAGCUGAAAUCAGUCGAAGAUACCAGCUGGCUGCAACUGUUUAUUAAAAACACAGCACUGUGCAAACACGAAAGUGGACGUAUACGGUGUGACGCCUGCCCGGUGCCGGAAGGUUAAUUGAUGGGGUCAGCGCAAGCGAAGCUCUUGAUCGAAGCCCCGGUAAACGGCGGCCGUAACUAUAACGGUCCUAAGGUAGCGAAAUUCCUUGUCGGGUAAGUUCCGACCUGCACGAAUGGCGUAAUGAUGGCCAGGCUGUCUCCACCCGAGACUCAGUGAAAUUGAACUCGCUGUGAAGAUGCAGUGUACCCGCGGCAAGACGGAAAGACCCCGUGAACCUUUACUAUAGCUUGACACUGAACAUUGAGCCUUGAUGUGUAGGAUAGGUGGGAGGCUUUGAAGUGUGGACGCCAGUCUGCAUGGAGCCGACCUUGAAAUACCACCCUUUAAUGUUUGAUGUUCUAACGUGGACCCGUAAUCCGGGUUGCGGACAGUGUCUGGUGGGUAGUUUGACUGGGGCGGUCUCCUCCUAAAGAGUAACGGAGGAGCACGAAGGUUGGCUAAUCCUGGUCGGACAUCAGGAGGUUAGUGCAAUGGCAUAAGCCAGCUUGACUGCGAGCGUGACGGCGCGAGCAGGUGCGAAAGCAGGUCAUAGUGAUCCGGUGGUUCUGAAUGGAAGGGCCAUCGCUCAACGGAUAAAAGGUACUCCGGGGAUAACAGGCUGAUACCGCCCAAGAGUUCAUAUCGACGGCGGUGUUUGGCACCUCGAUGUCGGCUCAUCACAUCCUGGGGCUGAAGUAGGUCCCAAGGGUAUGGCUGUUCGCCAUUUAAAGUGGUACGCGAGCUGGGUUUAGAACGUCGUGAGACAGUUCGGUCCCUAUCUGCCGUGGGCGCUGGAGAACUGAGGGGGGCUGCUCCUAGUACGAGAGGACCGGAGUGGACGCAUCACUGGUGUUCGGGUUGUCAUGCCAAUGGCACUGCCCGGUAGCUAAAUGCGGAAGAGAUAAGUGCUGAAAGCAUCUAAGCACGAAACUUGCCCCGAGAUGAGUUCUCCCUGACCCUUUAAGGGUCCUGAAGGAACGUUGAAGACGACGACGUUGAUAGGCCGGGUGUGUAAGCGCAGCGAUGCGUUGAGCUAACCGGUACUAAUGAACCGUGAGGCUUAACCUUACAACGCCGAAGGUGUUU
rnacentral:rRNA from 1 species